rnacentral:rRNA from 1 species
GACGAACGCUGGCGGCGUGCUUAACACAUGCAAGUCGAACGGAAAGGCCCUGCUUUUGUGGGGUGCUCGAGUGGCGAACGGGUGAGUAACACGUGAGUAACCUGCCCUUGACUUUGGGAUAACUUCAGGAAACUGGGGCUAAUACCGGAUAGGAGCUCCUGCUGCAUGGUGGGGGUUGGAAAGUUUCGGCGGUUGGGGAUGGACUCGCGGCUUAUCAGCUUGUUGGUGGGGUAGUGGCUUACCAAGGCUUUGACGGGUAGCCGGCCUGAGAGGGUGGCCGGCCACAUUGGGACUGAGAUACGGCCCAGACUCCUACGGGAGGCAGUAGUGGGGAGUAUUGUACAAUGGGCGGAAGCCUGAUGCAGCAACGCCGCGUGCGGGAUGACGGCCUUCGGGUUGUAAACCGCUUUCGCCUGUGACGAAGCGUGAGUGACGGUAAUGGGUAAAGAAGCACCGGCUAACUACGUG